rnacentral:ncRNA from 1 species
GACUCUGGAGAGAAGUGUUGAAUCACUCACCGAAGGGGAAGGUGGCCGCAUUGAUGUGCAAUGUAUCUACCGAAGCUCUCAGGUACACAUGACAGAUGGGAAA